rnacentral:rRNA from 1 species
GGAGAAUAUUGGUCAAUGGGGCGAGAGCCUGGAACCAGCCAAGUAGCGUGCAGGAUGACGGCCCUACGGGUUGUAAACUGCUUUUAUGCGGGGAUAAAGUCAGGGACGCGUCCCUGUUUGCAGGUACCGCAUGAAUAAGGACCGGCUAAUUCCGUGCCAGCAGCCGCGGUAAUACGGAAGGUCCGGGCGUUAUCCGGAUUUAUUGGGUUUAAAGGGAGCGUAGGCCGGAGAUUAAGCGUGUUGUGAAAUGUAGACGCUCAACGUCUGCACUGCAGCGCGAACUGGUUUCCUUGAGUACGCACAAAGUGGGCGGAAUUCGUGGUGUAGCGGUGAAAUGCUUAGAUAUCACGAAGAACUCCGAUUGCGAAGGCAGCUCACUGGAGCGCAACUGACGCUGAAGCUCGAAAGUGCGGG